CUAGGAAUGCUUCAUUAUUUCACCUUUCCAAGAAUUUGUAUUUGCCACGCGCGGGUUUAGUUCUCGUUUUCUUUUAAUCAGAUCAGGGUUUCACACCAACCAAACAGAAAAUAAACUAAAAAUACAAGAAAAAACAAGGGAAUUGCACAAUGAGUGGCAAAAUUAAGCCCAAAUUAAACACUGAAAACAAAUAGUAUGAUAAUAGACAAGAAAUACAUUUUGAUAAUUCAACGAAGAAACCCUAGAAAAUGAUCUCAAUCGAUGGGUAGAGAAAGAGAGACCUGACGAGAGAGAAAUCUGAAGUUGGAGAGGCCGAACUCGGAGCCUAAGGCCUUUCCUUAUAUACGCUGGUUUCGUUUCUCUUUGCCCCAAAAUUUCUCCAUUUUUUCCUAAUUGCCCCUAAGAUUUUGACGUUUUGUA
rnacentral:lncRNA from 1 species